rnacentral:lncRNA from 1 species
AUGAAGUCACCAAAGGAAUGCUGAUUUACCGUUACACUCGCAGGGAUUUCCCGCCAUGUUUAGAGUUAAGGAUCACAGUGGUGCCAGAUGAAGAUCACGGAAUCAACUUGGGGAUUUCCUACAAAGCAUAUUAACUAGAUUCCAAGAAAACCUGACAGUGAAGCUUCAGUGAAAAAGUAGGAUCUGUGAACUAAAUACAAACAAGGAGUAAAAUGUGCAUCAAAUGGAAUCAUUCGCUCCACACGAAUAAAGGAAAGGCUGAGAGUGACACGAAAACACUUUAAAAUGCACACAUUUACCGGCCAACGGAUUUUGGUCACUCGGCCCUUUAGCAAAAUCUUUUUAGAGGCACCAGAAUAUAUUCUGCAUUAGCGCCAAAUACAGCUUGAAAAUAAUUAAAAAUGCAGAUUAUCUAUUGAUACAGAUGAAUAAGCUAUCAAAUUGUACAUAUAUUUAUAAUAAAGCAGACUUCAGUACCGCAGCUAUGGGGAAGAGUUUCGAGCAAGACCAGGUGCAAAGCUAGCUCUCCGCUCCACUGAAGUAGAAAUGCCGUGGAACUCAGGAGUCAAGCGUCCGGAGGGUAGGUUGACAGAGAGGCGGCGCCUUCCAUGUCUGCCCAGAUGGAUGUGGUUCUUCGUCGGGCUCUGGGCAGGGACGAGCGUGGGACUCUCGGCGGCGGCGCAGUCUUUCCCCGUUGCCGUCGAGGAGAACCAGUCAUCCUUAAACAGUGACGGGACUUACCUGUUCUCCUAUGACACGGGUAGGAUACACGGUAGACAUAUCUCUCUUAAUUAUCAAGCGAUCGAAACAGCACAGUUGUCUUCCUUCAAACUAAUGUGAACUUUAAUGUUUUGUCAUUAAUAA